UCCUCAAUUAUAUUAUUUGAGGUAGAACCUGCUCAAUGCGAAAAGUAAAUAGCCGCAGUAUUCUGACUGUGCAAAGGUAGCAUAAUAAAUUGGCUUUUAAUUGAAGUCUUGAAUGAAUGGUUUGACAAGGAUUUGACUGUCUUGAAGUGAAAUUUUUUGAAAUUUAAUUGUUCGUAAAAAUGCGGAUAUGAAAGAGAGGGACGAGAAGACCCUAUAGAUCUUUAAUAAACUGGAAAAUUAAGGGUUUUCAGUUUUUUUUAUUUGGGGAAAAUCCUGAAAUAUAAACUUCGGUUAAUUGAUAAAAAUAUAAAUGAUUGAUUUGUGAUCCAUAUAUAUAUAUAUAUAUGAGAGGAUGAAAAAGUUACCUUAGGGAUAACAGGACAAUGAUUUUCUUUAAGAUCUUAUUUAAGAAAACGUUUGUUACCUCGAUGUUGAAUUAAGUUAUCUUACUAAAGAAGAAAUUUUUAUAGNUGGUCUGUUCGACCAUUGAAAAC
rnacentral:rRNA from 1 species